AGUGAACGCUGGCGGUAGGCCUAACACAUGCAAGUCGAACGGCAGCACAGUAAGAGCUUGCUCUUACGGGUGGCGAGUGGCGGACGGGUGAGGAAUACAUCGGAAUCUACUUUUUCGUGGGGGAUAACGUAGGGAAACUUACGCUAAUACCGCAUACGACCUACGGGUGAAAGCAGGGGAUCUUCGGACCUUGCCCGAUUGAAUGAGCCGAUGUCGGAUUAGCUAGUUGGCGGGGUAAAGGCCCACCAAGGCGACGAUCCGUAGCUGGUCUGAGAGGAUGAUCAGCCACACUGGAACUGAGACACGGUCCAGACUCCUACGGGAGGCAGCAGUGGGGAAUAUUGGACAAUGGGCGCAAGCCUGAUCCAGCCAUACCGCGUGGGUGAAGAAGGCCUUCGGGUUGUAAAGCCCUUUUGUUGGGAAAGAAAAGCAGCAGGUUAAUACCCCGCUGUUCUGACGGUACCCAAAGAAUAAGCACCGGCUAACUUCGUG
rnacentral:rRNA from 1 species